AGAUGUGAGGGCGAUCUGGCUGCGACAUCUGUCACCCCAUUGAUCGCCAGGGUUGAUUCAGCUGAUCUGGCUGGCUAGGCGGGUGUCCCCUUCCUCCCUCACCGCUCCAUGUGCGUCCCUCCCGAAGCUGCGCGCUCGGUGGAAGAGGACGACCAUCCCAGAUAGAAGGAGUGUACCGUUCUUCGGUCAAGGGUAUACGAUAGCUGCGCCCCCCUGCUAGAACCUCCAAACAAGCUCAAGGUCCAUUCUGGAGUUCAAGGGCUUGGAUUGCCUGGGAUCAGCUUCAAUUAAGUACAACAACUAACCUCUGUACAGGGGU
rnacentral:snRNA from 1 species